rnacentral:rRNA from 1 species
CCAGACUCCUACGGGAGGCAGCAGUGGGGAAUAUUGCACAAUGGGGGAAACCCUGAUGCAGCGACGCCGCGUGAGUGAAGAAGUAUUUCGGUAUGUAAAGCUCUAUCAGCAGGGAAGAAAAAAGACGGUACCUGACUAAGAAGCCCCGGCUAACUACGUGCCAGCAGCCGCGGUAAUACGUAGGGGGCAAGCGUUAUCCGGAUUUACUGGGUGUAAAGGGAGCGUAGACGGAGAAGCAAGUCUGAAGUGAAAGCCCGUGGCUUAACCACGGGACUGCUUUGGAAACUGUAUGGCUGGAGUGCUGGAGAGGUAAGCGGAAUUCCUAGUGUAGCGGUGAAAUGCGUAGAUAUUAGGAGGAACACCAGUGGCGAAGGCGGCUUACUGGACAGUAACUGACGUUGAGGCUCGAAAGCGUGGGGAGCAAACAGGAUUAGAUACCCCAGUAUU